UGGCGGACGGGUGAGUAACGCGUGGGUAACCUGCCUCACACUGGGGGACAACAGUUAGAAAUGACUGCUAAUACCGCAUAAGCGCACAGGACCGCAUGGUCCGGUGUGAAAAACUCCGGUGGUGUGAGAUGGACCCGCGUUUGAUUAGCUAGUUGGUGGGGUAACGGCCUACCAAGGCGACAAUCAAUAGCCGACCUGAGAGGGUGACCGGCCACAUUGGGACUGAGACACGGCCCAA
rnacentral:rRNA from 1 species